GAUGAACGCUAGCUACAGGCUUAACACAUGCAAGUCGAGGGGCAGCAUGUUGGUUGCUUGCAACCAAUGAUGGCGACCGGCGCACGGGUGAAUAACGCGUAUCCAACCCACCCAAUACUCAGGCAUAACCCGUUGAAAGACGGACUAAUUCCUGAUGGUAUGUAUUUCUCUCAUGAGUUAUACAUUAAAGAAUUUCGGUAUUGGAUGGGGAUGCGUCUGAUUAGUUUGUUGGUGAGGUAACGGCUCACCAAGACUUCGAUCAGUAGGGGUUCUGAGAGGAAGGUCCCCCACAUUGGAACUGAGACACGGUCCAAACUCCUACGGGAGGCAGCAGUGAGGAAUAUUGGUCAAUGGAUGGAAAUCUGAACCAGCCAAGUAGCGUGCAGGAUGACGGCCCUAUGGGUUGUAAACUGCUUUUAUGUGAGAAUAAAGUUAGGUAUGUAUACUUAUUUGCAUGUAUCACAUGAAUAAGGACCGGCUAAUUCCGUGCCAGCAGCCGCGGUAAUACGGAAGGUCCAGGCGUUAUCCGGAUUUAUUGGGUUUAAAGGGUGCGUAGGCCGUUUGAUAAGCGUGCUGUGAAAUAUAGUGGCUCAACCUCUAUCGUGCAGCGCGAACUGUUGAACUUGAGUGCGUAGUAGGUAGGCGGAAUUCGUGGUGUAGCGGUGAAAUGCUUAGAUAUCACGAAGAACUCCGAUUGCGAAGGCAGCUUACCGUAACGUUACUGACGCUUAAGCACGAAGGUGCGGGUAUCGAACAGGAUUAGAUACCCUGGUAGUCCGCACAGUAAACGAUGGAUGCUCGCUGUUGGCCUAUUGUGGUCAGUGGCUUACGAAAGCGUUAAGCAUCCCA
rnacentral:rRNA from 1 species